rnacentral:lncRNA from 1 species
GAUGCAGCACUGAGGUACAUAGGUACAUAGGGGAUGGGUUGGGGUUGGAUUGGAGGAUCUGAGAGGUCUUUUCCAAAUGUAAUGUUUCUGUGAUUCUGUGAUUUUAAAAACAUACCUGGACUGAGCUGCCUCUGUUUGCACAGAAGAUGGCUGACAUCUUUUCUCCACUGAUAUUUUGGUACCAAAUCCAGGUCCUGGCUGGGGUGAUUUCUUCACUAUUGUGAAACCAAGGCAUAGCCUCAGGCCAGAAAGUUUAUUCACCAAGAGGCUACCUCCAAGGUGUCUGUCCAGAAUCUCCUCAGGGAGUCUGUCUCCUCUUGAACAAACUUUGUAGCUUCUUUCAGGAGUAAUGUCUGGGCAGGUCCCAGGAGAGACUGAUGAUUUUGCAUGGUUGCUGAACACCAAAACAGCCAACAAAUAAAGACAUAGAUUGCUUGUUGGUUUAUUUUUAAUCCUUUGAAAAUGAGUCUUCAUGAAAUGGUCACUUUCCCCCUUUCUUGCUCUAAUUUCAACAAACAUGUGAACACAGAAGCACCCCACUGGCUUCAGCUUAAAAUAAAGCAUACAUAUCUGAAAAUUAUUUAGGUUGUAAACCAUUCAAUAUAGGAAAACAGUACCACAUCCUUCACUUAAAUUACUAUGUGACAAUCUAAGAAUACAUAUUUUUCAAGAUCUGUUAGCAUAAUCCGAGUUUUACUGCAAAUUUAUUUGCAGUUUUACUGCAAACAGGCACUGACAGACAGACAGCUGAGUAAUCACCAGCUGCAAACAACCUGCAACCUAGUCCUGGAGGUACACUUAUGUGCUUUGCUUUGCUGUGUGGUAAACGGAUCUCUUAAAUCAUCUUGAGGCACUGGCUCUUAAUUAUCAAUGUGUUCUCUUUAAAGUGGGACACAGACAGGAAAGGACAGAGUGUUCACUGGUGCUAGUAUUCUUUAAAAGAACUGGGGUGUUUGUAUUGUGAUUGGUGCAUAGAAUUGUUUUUAGUUGUAGUCCAUGAUGAUGACUGGGACAAGAAGCCUAAAUCUGGAAGUUGGGCCACUGAAGAUCUGAUCUCUCAUUCUCCCAGAUCCACUGGGCAUCAGAAGGUCUUGUCUAAGGCAUUACUUGCAGAAAACCUCUGUAAUUCUCUGGUAGAACUAAACAAGGCAACUAUCCAGUGCAAGACCCAUAUAAAGCGUGGGCCCUCAGUUCAUCAUCUGACCACAUAGAUAUUCGGACACAAAAAAAGGAGCUGAAAUAUGAGAAGAAACUGAUGUCAUUUUGGAGGACAGACAGGGACAGAUGAAGAGGAUUGCCUGAAGAAGACGAUUAAAGCAUGAAAUGAUUUAUAUGGCAUCCUGGCUGCAAAGUAAACAUAAGCAAAUGGCCUUAUUUAGUAGGCAUUGUUUUCCUGAUCAAAACAUGCCUUUUCUAUCUGUAAU